UUGAUGUUCUAACGUGGACCCGUGAUCCGGGUUGCGGACAGUGUCUGGUGGGUAGUUUGACUGGGGCGGUCUCCUCCUAAAGAGUAACGGAGGAGCACGAAGGUUGGCUAAUCCUGGUCGGACAUCAGGAGGUUAGUGCAAUGGCAUAAGCCAGCUUGACUGCGAGCGUGACGGCGCGAGCAGGUGCGAAAGCAGGUCAUAGUGAUCCGGUGGUUCUGAAUGGAAGGGCCAUCGCUCAACGGAUAAAAGGUACUCCGGGGAUAACAGGCUGAUACCGCCCAAGAGUUCAUAUCGACGGCGGUGUUUGGCACCUCGAUGUCGGCUCAUCACAUCCUGGGGCUGAAGUAGGUCCCAAGGGUAUGGCUGUUCGCCAUUUAAAGUGGUACGCGAGCUGGGUUUAGAACGUCGUGAGACAGUUCGGUCCCUAUCUGCCGUGGGCGCUGGAGAACUGAGGGGGGCUGCUCCUAGUACGAGAGGACCGGAGUGGACGCAUCACUGGUGUUCGGGUUGUCAUGCCAAUGGCACUGCCCGGUAGCUAAAUGCGGAAGAGAUAAGUGCUGAAAGCAUCUAAGCACGAAACUUGCCCCGAGAUGAGUUCUCCCUGAGACUUUAGGUCUCCUGAAGGAACGUUGAAGACGACGACGUUGAUAGGCCGGGUGUGUAAGCGCAGCGAUGCGUUGAGCUAACCGGUACUAAUGAACCGUGAGGCUUAACCUUACA
rnacentral:rRNA from 1 species